UGCCUCAGUAACGGCGAGUGAAGCGGCAACAGCUCAAAUUUGAAAUCUGGUCCUCCGGGCCCGAGUUGUAAUUUGCAGAGGGAGUUUCGGAGGCGACACCGGCCUAAGUUCCUUGGAACGGGGCGUCAUAGAGGGUGAGAAUCCCGUACGGGGCCGGUGGUCAAGUCCAUGUGAAACCCUUUCGACGAGUCGAGUUGUUUGGGAAUGCAGCUCAAAAUGGGUGGUAAAUUUCAUCUAAAGCUAAAUACCGGCCAGAGACCGAUAGCGCACAAGUAGAGUGAUCGAAAGAUGAAAAGCACUUUGGAAAGAGAGUUAAAAAGUACGUGAAAUUGUUGAAAGGGAAGCGCUUGCGACCAGACUUGCCCGCGGGUGAUCAGCCCCCCUUCGGGAGGGUGCACUCGCCCGCGGGCAGGCCAGCAUCGGUUUUGGCGGGCGGAUAAAGGCCCCAGGAAUGUAGCUCCCCUCGGGGAGUGUUAUAGCCUGGAGUGCCAUGCGCCCCGCCGGGACCGAGGACCGCGCUUCGGCUAGGAUGCUGGCGUAAUGGUCGUAAGCGACCCGUCUUGAAACACGGACCAAGGAGUCUAACAUCUGUGCGAGUGUUUGGGUGUCAAACCCAUGCGCGGAAUGAAAGUGAACGGAGGUGGGAACCCCUUCCGGGGGGCGCACCAUCGACCGAUCCUGAUGUCUUCGGAUGGAUUUGAGUAGGAGCAUGGCUGUUGGGACCCGAAAGAUGGUGAACUAUGCCUGGAUAGGGUGAAGCCAGAGGAAACUCUGGUGGAGGCUCGCAGCGGUUCUGACGUGCAAAUCGAUCGUCAAAUCUGGGUAUAGGGGCGAAAGACUAAUCGAACCAUCUAGUAUGCGAAGCCACUACUAGAGACACUGAUCGAAAGGGGGCCGGAAAUGGCCUCAGUAGUCCCCCGUUUCGGGGGGGCAACAUCGCCGGUCUUCGGGGACGCCUCUGGGCUACCCGCACUGAGCUCGGGCUCAGUCACAGACUAAGUGGCGGUGGCCGCAUCGCCUGCGGUUAGGAUAUAGUCGGCGGGCCUCUGACGGG
rnacentral:rRNA from 1 species